AAUGGGUCAGCGACUUAUAUUCUGUAGCAAGGUUAACCGAAUAGGGGAGCCGAAGGGAAACCGAGUCUUAACUGGGCGUUAAGUUGCAGGGUAUAGACCCGAAACCCGGUGAUCUAGCCAUGGGCAGGUUGAAGGUUGGGUAACACUAACUGGAGGACCGAACCGACUAAUGUUGAAAAAUUAGCGGAUGACUUGUGGCUGGGGGUGAAAGGCCAAUCAAACCGGGAGAUAGCUGGUUCUCCCCGAAAGCUAUUUAGGUAGCGCCUCGUGAAUUCAUCUCCGGGGGUAGAGCACUGUUUCGGCAAGGGGGUCAUCCCGACUUACCAACCCGAUGCAAACUGCGAAUACCGGAGAAUGUUAUCACGGGAGACACACGGCGGGUGCUAACGUCCGUCGUGAAGAGGGAAACAACCCAGACCGCCAGCUAAGGUCCCAAAGUCAUGGUUAAGUGGGAAACGAUGUGGGAAGGCCCAGACAGCCAGGAUGUUGGCUUAGAAGCAGCCAUCAUUUAAAGAAAGCGUAAUAGCUCACUGGUCGAGUCGGCCUGCGCGGAAGAUGUAACGGGGCUAAACCAUGCACCGAAGCUGCGGCAGCGACACUAUGUGUUGUUGGGUAGGGGAGCGUUCUGUAAGCCUGCGAAGGUGGCCUGUGAGGG
rnacentral:rRNA from 1 species